CUGGAGCCCCUCGAGCAAGGGGACAGCUUCCCCUCACUCCCAAAAGCGUCACCGGCCAUCCAAUCGAGCUCCCGGAGCUCCCCUACCCUCGCAUUGCCGCCAUGGCCGCCGCCUAGCUCCUCCGAAAUUGGAGCAGCCCGAGCACUCUCUCUCCCUCCUAACCUCACCUGGAGAACCCAUCGUCCCUGACGCACCUACCCAUCCCCUCGCCUCACCGUCGGAGGCUCUGUGGUCGCAUGCCAAGAUCUGGUCGUCGCCGCUAUUCCCGGCCGCCGUGAGCCGUCGUUGCUCUGCCCCUCUUCGGCGUCUGUUGCCGCUCCACGCAGGAGAAGCGCCUCCCUCCGCGCCCGCCGAUGGCUUCGCCCGUGCCGGAGGUGGCCGGAGCCAUCGGGGGAACGUCACCGGUGUCGUGACCCUCCCCUACCUCGUCUGUUCUAUUGGGGCAAGGCAAGAGGAGGAAGAAGAAGAUAGGGGGAGGAGAGAGAAGGAGCAUGGGCCCCAGGCAUCAGUGGCCCAGAGGCCGACCCCGCCUUGCCACGUCAGUUAAGUGGAAGCGCCUUUGUGCGUUUAUGUUUUCCUGGCAGGAAGGCGUAUACCAGAGGAAGGCGCGACCAACUUAGCUGCCAGGGACCCCGUUGUAAAUAUUUUUAUUUCAAACAAGUCCCUGCCACCAAAACCAUCAUAUCUUUUUACCCGUAACUCCGAUUCCAGUGAUUCCAAAGCCCACGUCUUCGUCUCGUCGAGCCCGACAAGAUGGUAUAAUUUACACCAUGUGAUCACAUAGUGGAAAGGACCGUGCUUCCCUUGCCGUAAACAGCCCCUCCUCCGGGAGAGAACUGUUUCCGGCGAUUCUUUCCGCGAGCUUCUCGCGCUUCUUCCCGGUGGUUCCAUCAUCCCACGCAAGCCACAACUUUCAUUUUCUUCAUUGCAUUGCAAUGUCAUAGUCUCAUUAACUACUUUAAUAACAAAUAUAUCUGUUGAUAGUCUCGAAUGUGAGUAUGCACGGUUGAAUAAAUUAUUACUGAGAUGAGUACGUGAUCGUUAGUGACUAGUGUCUUACACACUAGUCGAUAAUAUGAGGUUGAGAUUACUGUCUACGAUUACGUUGUGAAUACAGAUCGACAGUAGUGGCUUGAGCUUAUUAUUUAUCAGAUUACUGUGACAUCGGAGUGUCAGCUAUGACAGACAUAUUAUUCGGGAUAAGAUACCUAGUUGGUUGAUCAAAGUGACCUGUCUGGGCUCAUCAGUGGAACCACAUUUGCCGAUAUGGGACGACCUUGACUUGAGCUGAUCGCGUGAUAUUUCACCGGUACCUCCAAAGAGGGAGGGUUAUGCACGCGUGCUACCUUGGCCCGAUAGGCGGUGAUAACCCUGUGAGCUAGUUGAGUUGUUUGUGCCGGCGUCCCCGGUUGGGACAGUUUAGUUUGGCCACGAUGGUGGCAGGUGUCAUGAGGACACAUGGCCACCCAGGGCAGGACUCCGGGAGAGGAUGAAUGCCGGUGGUACGAUGAAAGAGUCACGGGUCAGGCAAGUUUCGUUGGAGUAAUGCUAGUCCACCCGAAUGGGAUCACGAGGUUAGUGCUCCAUGGUGUGGGUAAAGUGUGCAACCUCUGCAGAGUGUCAAAUCUAUUCGAAUAGCUGCGUCCACGGUAAUGGACAACCCGACCAGACCUCAGUAGAUAGUCAAUCAUAACUAUGAUAGUAAUGAUGGAAGAACUCAUCUGAGUAUGGUAACAGUUGGGCAUCGUGCCGAUGAUAAGUCUUGGUAUCCGGCGCAAGGAUACUUGCUAAAGAUUCUCGGUAAGAUCACAAGAGUUGGGAUCAUUAGGGUACAGUGAUAGAAGUCUGGUAUAGUUAUUUUUCAACUACCCCUUAGUGAUAAUAAAUCUUUAUCUGAUCUUUACUGCUAUGAUGUUGUCUUGCCUUAAUGCUAAUGUUUGUUGUGAGCUUGCGAGUACAUUCAAAGUACUCACCUAGCUUGUCAUGCCAGUUUGCAGGUCAUGCCUUGAUUGCCUGAUUGUCGAAGAUUCCGAGUUGUGAGCUAGGAUACGUGUUCCAGCCAGAGUCCCUGUGGAGUGGAGUUCAUCACAUCCGUUGUUGUUCCGCUGCUAGUGUAGGAUUUAUCGUAGGUAGGUGUAGUAUCGCCAAGGCGAUGUAAUCCAUGUAUCCUUGUAAUAUUUUCCAUAGUAAUAAAGAUCUGAUUUGUUCUGUGCCAACGGUUCCAUAUUCCAGAAGACUAGUCCUUGGGCUGGAAUACGGGGCGUUCCGGUUUCCUCUGAGCCGGGGUGCCAUAGAGGGGCAUCGCAGCUCACCACAGAGCUGGGCGCAUCCCCACAACCCUGCCCACUUCAGCCAAGGGAGGGAGGCCUCCUCCUAGGGCGUCGGCCAACCCAACUUGGGUGGCAAGGCACCCAAGUAGGAGGGGCCACCCAACCCUAGCUGCCACCCCACCUUGGCCGUCAGCCCCUAGGGGAAACCGUAGGUCACCUCUCCUCCUCCUACCCCAUAUAUAUAGAGAGGUAGAGAGAGGGCAGCAACAUGACAUCUUGCCACGGUGUUGCUCCUCCUCUCCCUCGUAGUUCUUUUCCUCUAAACAUCGCGCUGCAAAGCCCUAAUGAUCUGUCACCACCAUCACCUCACCAUGCCCUC
rnacentral:lncRNA from 1 species